rnacentral:ribozyme from 2 species
ACUGUAAUGCAGCCGAAGCCGGUUCCGAGCCCGGAAAUGCAGAGGACAGA